rnacentral:rRNA from 2 species
UGCCUAUACAUGCAGUCGAGCGGACAGAAGGGAGCUUGCUCCCGGAUGUUAGCGGCGGACGGGUGAGUAACACGUGGGUAACCUGCCUGUAAGACUGGGAUAACUCCGGGAAACCGGAGCUAAUACCGGAUAGUUCCUUGAACCGCAUGGUUCAAGGAUGAAAGACGGUUUCGGCUGUCACUUACAGAUGGACCCGCGGCGCAUUAGCUAGUUGGUGGGGUAAUGGCUCACCAAGGCGACGAUGCGUAGCCGACCUGAGAGGGUGAUCGGCCACACUGGGACUGAGACACGGCCCNNACUCCUACGGGAGGCAGCAGUAGGGAAUCUUCCGCAAUGGACGAAAGUCUGACGGAGCAACGCCGCGUGAGUGAUGAAGGUUUUCGGAUCGUAAAGCUCUGUUGUUAGGGAAGAACAAGUGCGAGAGUAACUGCUCGCACCUUGACGGGACCUAACCCGAAAGCCACCGCUAAAUACGUGCCAGCAGCCUCGGUAAUACGUAAGUGGUAAGCGUUGUCCUGAAUUAUUGGUCGUAAAGGGCUUNCAUUCGGCUUCUUU